rnacentral:lncRNA from 1 species
GCACCAGUAUGGACCAGUAUGCACCAGUAUGGGCACCGCUAUGCGCCACUAUGCACCAGUAUGGACCAGUAUAGACCAGUAUGGGCACCGCUAUGCGCCACUAUGCACCAGUAUGCACCAGUAUGCACCAGUAUGCACCAGUAUGGGCACCGCUAUGCGCCACUAUGCACCAGUAUGGACCAGUAUAGACCAGUAUGGGCACCGCUGUGCGCCACUAUGCACCAGUAUGCACCAGUAUGCACCAGUAUGGGCACCGCUAUGCGCCACUAUGCACCAGUAUGCACCAGUAUAGACCAGUAUGGGCACCGCUGUGCGCCACUAUACACCAGUAUGCACCAGUAUGGGCACCGCUAUGCGCCACUGUACACCAGUAUGCACCAGUAUGCACCAGUAUGGACCAGUAUGCACCAGUAU